rnacentral:rRNA from 1 species
AGCCACAGCCGGAUCACCCUGCAGCCCAAGACUACUCACUGAAGCUAAGCAGGGCUGAGCCUGGUCAGUGUCUGGAUGGGAGACCACAUGGGAACACUAGGUUGCUGCCAGUG